rnacentral:rRNA from 1 species
GACGAACGCUGGCGGCGUGCUUAACACAUGCGAGUCGAACGGUGAAGGGACUGGUUUUGCUGGUCCUGGAUGAGUGGCGAACGGGUGAGUAACACGUGAGUAACCUGCCCCCUUCUUCUGGAUAACCGCAUGAAAGUGUGGCUAAUACGGGAUAUUCUGGGUCUGUCGCAUGGUGGGCCUGGGAAAGAUUGCGCCUUUUUUGGUGUUUUUGGUGGGGGAUGGGCUCGCGGCCUAUCAGCUUGUUGGUGGGGUGAUGGCCUACCAAGGCGGUGACGGGUAGCCGGCCUGAGAGGGUGGACGGUCACACUGGGACUGAGACACGGCCCAGACUCCUACGGGAGGCAGCAGCGGGGAAUAUUGCACAAUGGGCGCAAGCCUGAUGCAGCGACGCCGCGUGAGGGAUGGAGGCCUUCGGGUUGUGAACCUCUUUCGCCAGUGAAGCAGGCCUGCCUCUUUUUGUGGGUGGGUUGACGGUAGCUGGAUAAGAAGCGCCGGCUAACUACGUG